CACAACAUAGGAGUUCGUUAGAAGAUGUAUCUUUGUGAUGAAGAAUGCCAAAUAUUUUUUAUUAUUUAUCAAUUUAUAUACAAUUAUAGUUAGCACAAUCGUCACAAGAUUGGCUUUAGGAUAUAUUUUCCAACAACUCUCACUUGGACUAAAGCCAAUCAGUAUAGUAUCAUAUACCCAUCUUUAAUUUAUCAUCUCAGAACUCCUAGAUACUUAGGCUUUAGUAAAUAGGUUGGUCA
rnacentral:lncRNA from 1 species